rnacentral:rRNA from 1 species
UAGGGAAUCUUCGGCAAUGGGGGCAACCCUGACCGAGCAACGCCGCGUGAGUGAAGAAGGUUUUCGGAUCGUAAAGCUCUGUUGUAAGUCAAGAACGGGUGUGAGAGUGGAAAGUUCACACUGUGACGGUAGCUUACCAGAAAGGGACGGCUAACUACGUGCCAGCAGCCGCGGUAAUACGUAGGUCCCGAGCGUUGUCCGGAUUUAUUGGGCGUAAAGCGAGCGCAGGCGGUUUGAUAAGUCUGAAGUUAAAGGCUGUGGCUCAACCAUAGUUCGCUUUGGAAACUGUCAAACUUGAGUGCAGAAGGGGAGAGUGGAAUUCCAUGUGUAGCGGUGAAAUGCGUAGAUAUAUGGAGGAACACCGGUGGCGAAAGCGGCUCUCUGGUCUGUAACUGACGCUGAGGCUCGAAAGCGUGGGGAGCGAACAGGAUUAGAUACCCUGGUAGUCCACGCCGUAAACGAUGAGUGCUAGGUGUUGGAUCCUUUCCGGGAUUCAGUGCCGCAGCUAACGCAUUA